CCUACGGGAGGCAGCAGUGGGGGAUAUUGCACAAUGGGGGAAACCCUGAUGCAGCGACGCCGCGUGGGGGAAGAAGUAUUUCGGUAUGUAAAGCCCUAUUAGUCGGGAAGAAGAAAUGACGGUACCUCAGUGAGAAGCACCGGCUAAAUACGGGCCAUCAGCCGCGGUAAUCCGUAUGGUGCCAGCAUUAUCCGGAUUUACUGGGUGUAAAGGUAGCGCAGGCGGCACGGCAAGCCUGAUGUGAAAGCCCGCGGCUCAACCGCGGGACUGCAGUGGAAACUAGCGGGCUGGAGUGCCGGAGAGGUAGGCGGAAUUCCUGGUGUAGCGGUGAAAUGCGUAGAUAUUAGGGGGAACACCAGUGGCGAAGGCGGCCUACUGGACGGUGACUGACGCUGAGGCUCGAAAGCGUGGGGAGCAAACAGGAUUAGAUACCCGGGUAGUC
rnacentral:rRNA from 1 species